CGCGUAGGUGGCUAUGUAAGUCGGAUGUGAAAGCCCCGGGCUUAACCUGGGAACUGCAUUCGAUACUGCGUGGCUAGAGUAUGGAAGAGGGAAGUGGAAUUCCGGGUGUAGCGGUGAAAUGCGUAGAUAUCCGGAGGAACAUCAGUGGCGAAGGCGACUUCCUGGGCCAAUACUGACACUGAGGUGCGAAAGCGUGGGUAGCAAACA
rnacentral:rRNA from 1 species